GACGAACGCUGGCGGCGUGCUUAACACAUGCAAGUCGAACGGAAAGGCCCUGCUUUUGUGGGGUGCUCGAGUGGCGAACGGGUGAGUAACACGUGAGUAACCUGCCCUUGACUUUGGGAUAACUUCAGGAAACUGGGGCUAAUACCGGAUAGGAGCUCCUGCUGCAUGGUGGGGGUGGGAGAGUUUCGGCGGUUGGGGAUGGACGCGCGGGUUAUCAGCUUGUUGGUGGGGUAGUGGCUUACAAAGGCUUUGACGGGUAGCCGGCCUGAGAGGGUGACCGGACACAUUGGGACUGAGAUACGGCCCAGACUCCUACGGGAGGCAGCAGUGGGGAAUAUUGCACAAUGGGCGGAAGCCUGAUGCAGAAACGCCGCGUGCGGGAUGACGGCCUUCGGGUUGUAAACCGCUUUCGACUGUGACGAAGCGUGAGUGACGGUAAUGGGUAAAGAAGCACCGGCUAACUACGUG
rnacentral:rRNA from 1 species